rnacentral:rRNA from 1 species
UACGUAGGUGGCGAGCGUUGUCCGGAUUUACUGGGCGUAAAGAGCGCGCAGGCGGUCGUAUAAGUCGCGUGUGAAAGCCCCCGGCCCAACUGGGGAGGGUCACGCGAUACUGUUCGACUUGAAGGCAGGAGAGGGAAGCGGAAUUCCCGGCGUAGUGGUGAAAUGCGUAGAUAUCGGGAGGAACACCAGUGGCGAAGGCGGCUUCCUGGCCUGUUCUUGACGCUGAGGCGCGAAAGCUAGGGUAGCAAACGGG